UGCUGGAGGGAAAGAAGGGGAGGAGAGGAUAUUAUUAUUUGGCAGGGAGCCCAGUGCGAGGUAGAGCUUCGAGAGCCAAGUGGAGCUCAGAGCGAGGUGGAGCUUCAGGUGGAGGUGGAUCGGGCACGAGACGGGAGAUUUAGGAGGAUGAGAGGUGACGUCGCAAGGUGAGAUUCCUAUUGCCGCAGGACGAUGCCUCGAGUAAGUCUCAGGUC
rnacentral:lncRNA from 1 species